UACGUAGGGGACGAGCGUUGUCCGGAUUCAUUGGGCGUAAAGCGCGCGUAGGCGGCUCGGAAAGUCGGGCGUGAAAUGCCGGGGCUCAACCCUGGAACUGCAUUGGAUACUUCCUUGCUAGAGUACUGGAGAGGAAACUGGAAUUUACGGUGUAGCAGUGAAAUGCGUAGAGAUCGUAAGGAAGACCAGUGGCGAAGGCGAGUUUCUGGACAGUUACUGACGCUG
rnacentral:rRNA from 1 species